GACGAACGCUGGCGGCGUGCUUAACACAUGCAAGUCGAGCGAUGAAGCACCUUCGGGUGUGAAUUAGCGGCGAACGGGUGAGGAACACGUGAGAAAUCUGCCUUCAACACUGGGAUAACUCCGGGAAACCGGGGCUAAUACCGGAUAUGAAAUCUGCGGGCAUCCGCGGAUUUGGAAAGUUUUUCGGUUGAAGAUGAUCUCGCGGCCUAUCAGCUUGUUGGUGAGGUAAUGGCUCACCAAGGCGACGACGGGUAGCCGGCCUGAGAGGGCGACCGGCCACACUGGGACUGAGACACGGCCCAGACUCCUACGGGAGGCAGCAGUGGGGAAUAUUGGGCAAUGGAGGAAACUCUGACCCAGCGACGCCGCGUGCGGGAUGAAGGCCUUCGGGUUGUAAACCGCUUCAGCAGGGAGAAGCGAAAGUGACGGUACCUGCAGAAGAAGCACCGGCUAACUAUGUG
rnacentral:rRNA from 1 species